AACGAACGCUGGCGGCAGGCUUAACACAUGCAAGUCGAACGCACCUUCGGGUGAGUGGCAGACGGGUGAGUAACGCGUGGGAACCUUCCCUGUGGUAUGGAAUAGCUCCGGGAAACUGGAAUUAAUACCGUAUACGCCCUUUUGGGGAAAGAUUUAUCGCCAUAGGAUGGGCCCGCGUCGGAUUAGCUUGUUGGUAGGGUAAUGGCCUACCAAGGCAACGAUCCGUAGCUGGUCUUAGAGGAUGAUCAGCCACACUGGGACUGAGACACGGCCCAGACUCCUACGGGAGGCAGCAGUGGGGAAUAUUGGACAAUGGGCGAAAGCCUGAUCCAGCCAUGCCGCGUGAGUGACGAAGGCCUUAGGGUUGUAAAACUCUUUUGGCGGGGACGAUAAUGACGGUACCCGCAGAAUAAGCCCCGGCUAACUUCGUG
rnacentral:rRNA from 1 species